CCUACGGGCGGCAGCAGUGGGGGAUAUUGGACAAUGGGGGGAACCCUGAUCCAGCGACGCCGCGUGAGUGAAGAAGUAUUUCGGGAUGUAAAGCUCUGUCAGCAGGGAAGAAAGCAAUGACGGUACCUGACCAAGAAGCCCCGGCUAACUACGGGCCAGCAGCCGCGGUAAUACGGAGGGGGCAAGCGUUAUCCGGAAUUACUGGGUGUAAAGGGAGCGUAGACGGCUGUGCAAGUCUGGAGUGAAAGGCGGGGGCCCAACCCCCGGACUGCUCUGGAAACUGUAUGGCUGGAGUGCAGGAGAGGUAAGCGGAAUGCCUAGUGUAGCGGUGAAAUGCGUAGAUAUUAGGAGGAACACCAGUGGCGAAGGCGGCUUACUGGACUGUAACUGACGUUGAGGCUCGAAAGCGUGGGGAGCAAACAGGAUUAGAUACCCGGGUAGUC
rnacentral:rRNA from 1 species